rnacentral:rRNA from 1 species
AUUGAACGCUGGCGGCAGGCCUAACACAUGCAAGUCGAGCGGUAGAGAGAAGCUUGCUUCUCUUGAGAGCGGCGGACGGGUGAGUAAUGCCUAGGAAUCUGCCUGGUAGUGGGGGAUAACGCUCGGAAACGGACGCUAAUACCGCAUACGUCCUACGGGAGAAAGCAGGGGACCUUCGGGCCUUGCGCUAUCAGAUGAGCCUAGGUCGGAUUAGCUAGUUGGUGAGGUAAUGGCWCACCAAGGCGACGAUCCGUAACUGGUCUGAGAGGAUGAUCAGUCACACUGGAACUGAGACACGGUCCAGACUCCUACGGGAGGCAGCAGUGGGGAAUAUUGGACAAUGGGCGAAAGCCUGAUCCAGCCAUGCCGCGUGUGUGAAGAAGGUCUUCGGAUUGUAAAGCACUUUAAGUUGGGAGGAAGGGCAUUAACCUAAUACGUUGGUGUCUUGACGUUACCGACAGAAUAAGCACCGGCUAACUCUGU